rnacentral:rRNA from 1 species
AUGCACGCUGGCGGCGUGCCUAAUCCAUGCCAGUCGAGCGAACAGACGAGGAGCUUGCUCCUCUGACGUUAGCGGCGGACGGGUGAGUAACACGUGGAUAACCUACCUAUAAGCCUGGGAUAACUUCGGGAAACCGGAGCUAAUACCGGAUAAUAUAUUGAACCGCAUGGUUCAAUAGUGAAAGACGGUUUUGCUGUCACUUAUAGAUGGAUCCGCGCCGCAUUAGCUAGUUGGUAAGGUAACGGCUUACCAAGGCGACGAUGCGUAGCCGACCUGAGAGGGUGAUCGGCCACACUGGAACUGAGACACGGUCCAGACUCCUACGGGGGGCAGCAGUAGGGAAUCUUCCGCAAUGGGCGAAAGCCUGACGGAGCAACGCCGUGUGAGUGAUGAAGGUCUUCGGAUCGUAAAACUCUGUUAUUAGGGAAGAACAAAUGUGUAAGUAACUAUGCACGUCUUGACGGUACCUAAUCAGAAAGCCACGGCUAACUACGUG